GACGAACGCUGGCGGCGUGCUUAACACAUGCAAGUCGAACGGAAAGGCCCUGCUUUUGUGGGGUGCUCGAGUGGCGAACGGGUGAGUAACACGUGAGUAACCUGCCCUUGACUUUGGGAUAACUUCAGGAAACUGGGGCUAAUACCGGAUAGGAGCUCCUGCUGCAUGGUGGGGGUUGGAAAGUUUCGGCGGUUGGGGAUGGACUCGCGGCUUAUCAGCUUGUUGGUGGGGUAGUGGCUUACCAAGGCUUUGACGGGUAGCCGGCCUGAGAGGGUGACCGGCCACAUUGGGACUGAGAUACAGCCCAGACUCCUACGGGAGGCAGCAGUGGGGAAUUUUGCACAAUGGGCGGAAGCCUGAUGCAGCAACGCCGCGUGCGGGAUGACGGCCUUCGGGUUGUAAACCGCUUUCGCCUGUGACGAAGCGUGAGUGACGGUAAUGGGUAAAGAAGCACCGGCUAACUACGUG
rnacentral:rRNA from 1 species